AUUGAACGCUGGCGGCAGGCCUAACACAUGCAAGUCGAGCGGAUGAGUGGAGCUUGCUCCAUGAUUCAGCGGCGGACGGGUGAGUAAUGCCUAGGAAUCUGCCUGGUAGUGGGGGACAACGUUUCGAAAGGAACGCUAAUACCGCAUACGUCCUACGGGAGAAAGCAGGGGACCUUCGGGCCUUGCGCUAUCAGAUGAGCCUAGGUCGGAUUAGCUAGUAGGUGAGGUAAUGGCUCACCUAGGCGACGAUCCGUAACUGGUCUGAGAGGAUGAUCAGUCACACUGGAACUGAGACACGGUCCAGACUCCUACGGGA
rnacentral:rRNA from 1 species